GACGUAGGGCGCGAGCGUUGUCCGGAUUUAUUGGGCGUAAAGAGCUCGUAGGCGGCUUGUCGCGUCGAAUGUGAAAACCCACGGCUCAACUGUGGGCUUGCAUUCGAUACGGGCAGGCUAGAGUUCGGUAGGGGAGACGUGGAAUUCCUGGAUGUAGCGGUGAAAUGCGCAGAUAUCAGGAGGAACACCGGUGGCGAAGGCGGGUCUCUGGGCCGAUACUGACGCUGAGGAGCGAAAGCGUGGGGAGCGAACAGG
rnacentral:rRNA from 1 species